UACGUAGGGGGCAAGCGUUGUCCGGAUUUAUUGGGCGUAAAGAGCGUGUAGGCGGUCUGGUAGGUCCGUUGUGAAAACUCGAGGCUCAACCUCGAGACGCCGAUGGAAACCCUCAGACUAGAGUCCGGAAGAGGAGAGUGGAAUUCCUGGUGUAGCGGUGAAAUGCGCAGAUAUCAGGAAGAACACCAGUGGCGAAGGCGGCUCACCGGCCCGAUACUGACGCUGAUGCACGAAAGCGUGGGGAGCAAACAGG
rnacentral:rRNA from 1 species